rnacentral:misc_RNA from 1 species
GAUGAAGAACGCAGCGAAAUGCGAUAAGUAAUGUGAAUUGCAGAAUUCAGUGAAUCAUCGAAUCUUUGAACGCACAUUGCGCCCCUUGGUAUUCCGGGGGGCAUGCCUGUCCGAGCGUCAUUGCUGCCCUCAAGCACGGCUUGUGUGUUGGGCCUCCGCCCCCCGGCUCCCGGGGGGCGGGCCCGAAAGGCAGCGGCGGCACCGCGUCCGGUCCUCGAGCGUAUGGGGCUUCGUCACCCGCUCCGUAGGCCCGGCCGGCGCCCGCCGGCGACCCCCCUAAUCUUUCCAGGUUGACCUCGGAUCAGGUAGGGAUACCCGCUGAACUUAAGCAUAUCAAUAAGCGGAGGA